CAAUAGCGUAUAUUAAAGUUGUUGCGGUUAAAAAGCUCGUAGUUGGAUUUCUGCUGAGAACGACCGGUCCGCCCAUUGGGUGUGUAUCUGGCUCUUUCUUGGCAUCUUCUUGGUGAACGUUACUGCACUUGACUGUGUGGAGCGCUACCCAGGACUUUUACUUUGAGGAAAUUAGAGUGUUUCAAGCAGGCAUACGCCUUGAAUACGUUAGCAUGGAAUAAUAAGAUAGGACCUCGGUUCUAUUUUGUUGGUUUCUAGAGCUGAGGUAAUGAUUAAUAGGGAUAGUUGGGGGCAUUCGUAUUUAACUGUCAGAGGUGAAAUUCUUAGAUUUGUUAAAGACGGACUACUGCGAAAGCAUUUGCCAAGGAUGUUUUCAUUGA
rnacentral:rRNA from 1 species